rnacentral:rRNA from 1 species
CCUUAGCGCGGUGGUCCCACCUGACCCCAUGCCGAACUCAGAAGUGAAACGCCGUAGCGCCGAUGGUAGUGUGGGGUCUCCCCAUGCGAGAGUAGGGAACUGCCAGGU